rnacentral:rRNA from 1 species
GGGAAUCUUCCACAAUGGACGCAAGUCUGAUGGAGUAACGCCGCGUGAGUGAAGAAGGUUUUCGGAUCGUAAAGCUCUGUUGUUGGUGAAGAAGGAUAGAGGUAGUAACUGGCCUUUAUUUGACGGUAAUCAACCAGAAAGUCACGGCUAACUACGUGCCAGCAGCCGCGGUAAUACGUAGGUGGCAAGCGUUGUCCGGAUUUAUUGGGCGUAAAGCGAGCGCAGGCGGAAGAAUAAGUCUGAUGUGAAAGCCCUCGGCUUAACCGAGGAAUUGCAUCGGAAACUGUUUUCUUGAGUGCAGAAGAGGAGAGUG